GGACAACCUACCCUGAGGACGGGUAUAAACCCGGGAAACUGGGUAUAAUCCCCGAUAGUCCUCGGCUGCUGGAAUGCACCGAGGACGAAAGCUCCGGCGCCUUAGGAUGGGUCUGCGGCCUAUCAGGUAGUAGUGGGUGUAACGUACCUACUAGCCUACGACGGGUACGGGUUGUGAGAGCAAGAGCCCGGAGAUGGAUUCUGAGACAUGAAUCCAGGCCCUACGGGGUGCAGCAGGCGCGAAAACUUUACAAUGCGGGCAACCGCGAUAAGGGGACCUCGAGUGCUGGGUUACAAACCUGGCUGUUGGGCUGCCUAAAAAGCAUUACAUAGCAAGGGCCGGGCAAGACCGGUGCCAGCCGCCGCGAUAACACCGGCGGCUCGAGUGGUAACCGCUAUUAUUGGGUCUAAAGGGUCUGUAGCCGGCCGGAUAAGUCUCUUGGGAAAUCUGGCAGCUCAACUGUCAGGCUUUCAGGAGAUACUGUCUGGCUCGAGGCCGGGAGAGGUGAGAGGUACUUCAGGGGUAGGGGUGAAAUCUUGUAAUCCUUGAAGGACCACCAGUGGCGAAGGCGUCUCACCAGAACGGACCUGACGGCAAGGGACGAAAGCUAGGGGCACGAACCGGAUUAGAUACCCGGGUAGUCCCAGCUGUAAACGAUGCUCGCUAGGUGUCAGGCAUGGCGCGACCGUGUCUGGUGCCGCAGGGAAGCCGUGAAGCGAGCCACCUGGGAAGUACGGCCGCAAGGCU
rnacentral:rRNA from 1 species